rnacentral:rRNA from 1 species
AGAGUUUGAUCCUGGCUCAGGACGAACGCUGGCGGCAUGCCUAAUACAUGCAAGUCGAGCGGUUUUGCUUUGGAAGCUUGCUUUCAAAGUAAGAUAGCGGCGGACGGGUGAGUAACACGUAGGCAACCUGCCCCUUAGACUGGGAUAACUACCGGAAACGGUAGCUAAUACCGGAUAAUCCCUUUCUUCUCCUGAGGAAAGGAUGAAAGGCGGAGCAAUCUGCCACUGAGGGAUGGGCCUGCGGCGCAUUAGCUAGUUGGUGAGGUAACGGCUCACCAAGGCGACGAUGCGUAGCCGACCUGAGAGGGUGAACGGCCACACUGGGACUGAGACACGGCCCAGACUCCUACGGGAGGCAGCAGUAGGGAAUCUUCCGCAAUGGGCGAAAGCCUGACGGAGCAAUGCCGCGUGAGUGAUGAAGGUUUUCGGAUCGUAAAGCUCUGUUGCCAGGGAAGAACGUCCGGUAGAGUAACUGCUACCGGAGUGACGGUACCUGAGAAGAAAGCCCCGGCUAACUACGUGCCAGCAGCCGCGGUAAUACGUAGGGGGCAAGCGUUGUCCGGAAUUAUUGGGCGUAAAGCGCGCGCAGGCGGCUAUUUAAGUCUGGUGUUUAAACCUUGGGCUCAACCUGAGGUCGCACUGGAAACUGGGUGGCUUGAGUACAGAAGAGGAAAGUGGAAUUCCACGUGUAGCGGUGAAAUGCGUAGAUAUGUGGAGGAACACCAGUGGCGAAGGCGACUUUCUGGGCUGUAACUGACGCUGAGGCGCGAAAGCGUGGGGAGCAAACAGGAUUAGAUACCCUGGUAGUCCACGCCGUAAACGAUGAGUGCUAGGUGUUAGGGGUUUCGAUACCCUUGGUGCCGAAGUUAACACAGUAAGCACUCCGCCUGGGGAGUACGGUCGCAAGACUGAAACUCAAAGGAAUUGACGG